GAUGAACGCUGGCGGCGUGCUUAACACAUGCAAGUCGAACGGAAAGGCCCAAGCUUGCUUGGGUACUCGAGUGGCGAACGGGUGAGUAACACGUGGGUGAUCUGCCCUGCACUUCGGGAUAAGCCUGGGAAACUGGGGCUAAUACCGGAUAGGACCACAUGUUGGACGGUGUGGUGGAAAGAUUUUCGGUGUGGGAUGAGCUCGCGGCCUAUCAGCGUGUUGGUGGGGUAAUGGCCUACCAAGGCGUCGACGGGUAGCCGGCCUGCGAGGGGGUACGGCCGCAUUGGGCCUGCGCUACGGCCCCGACUCCUACGGGUGGCAGCAGUGGGGAAUCUUGCACAGUGGGCGCCAGCCUGAUGCAGCGACGCCGCGUGGGGGUUGACGGCCUUCGGGUUGUAAACUCCUUUCGCUAGGGACGAAGCGUUUUUGUGACGGUACCUGGAGAAGAAGCACCGGCUAACUACGUG
rnacentral:rRNA from 1 species